GACGAACCGAGCGAACGUUAUUCGGAAUCACUGGGCUUAAAGGGCGCGUAGGCGGGUCAGCAAGUCAGGGGUGAAAGCCCCCAGCUCAACUGGGGAAGUGCCUUUGAUACUGGCGGGCUCGAGCGAGGUAGGGGUCGUGGGAACUUCCGGUGGAGCGGUGAAAUGCGUUGAUAUCGGAAGGAACGCCGGUGGCGAAAGCGCACGACUGGACCUCUCCUGACGCUGAGGCGCGAAAGCCAGGGGAGCAAACGGG
rnacentral:rRNA from 1 species